CGUAGAGUCCGGUCACCCCUUUAAAGGAUGACUGAUUUCUUCUGGUGUUCGGAGUCUAGUUCUCUUUCUAGCACCAUUUGAAAUCGGUUAUAGUGAUUGGGGAAUAUCACCAUGGAAGCA
rnacentral:precursor_RNA from 11 species